rnacentral:rRNA from 1 species
GUAGGUGGCAAGCGUUGUCCGGAAUUAUUGGGCGUAAAGCGCGCGCAGGCGGUUCUUUAAGUCUGAUGUGAAAGCCCACGGCUCAACCGUGGAGGGUCAUUGGAAACUGGAGAACUUGAGUACAGAAGAGGAAAGCGGAAUUCCACGUGUAGCGGUGAAAUGCGUAGAGAUGUGGAGGAACACCAGUGGCGAAGGCGGCUUUCUGGUCUGUAACUGACGCUGAGGCGCGAAAGCGUGGGGGGGGCAAACAGGAUUAGAUACCCUGGUAGUCCACGCCGUAAACGAUGAGUGCUAAGUGUUAGGGGGUUUCCGCCCCCCUUAGUGCUGCAGCUAACGCAUUAAGCACUCCGCCUGGGAGUACGGCCGCAAGGCUG